GGCGCACUUAAAGCUGAGCUGGCUGUUGUGGAUCUGAGUCUGUUCCUGUCGACGACUUUCUCUGGAGUGGGAGCAGCAGCAGCAGCUUAAACAAAAACCCACAAAACACAACCACCAGGAAGACUUCUGGCACACUGCACCAGUCUGCUAUCCACCAUUUCACCCCAGUCGAGUUUAACUUCCGACAACAACUGAACAAAGGAGACAUAAAGAAGGAGCUCUGUCCAACCGACGCCAUGGACCCCGCCAGUCAAGAUAUCAACCUGAACUCUCCUAACAAGGGUCUUGUUGUGGAUAACACAGACAGCCUGUCCGACGUGCCGGUGGAGGGAGCGGUGGGGAACUCAGCCAACCCUCUUCCACCCGGCCUGACAGAGGAAGAGGCUGAGGAGCUCCGCACUGAGCUCACCAAGGUGGAGGAAGAGAUCAACACCCUGCGUCAGGUUCUGUCAGCCAAAGAGAGACACGCUGCUGAGCUGAAGAGGAAACUCGGCCUCAGCCCGCUCAAUGAAUUAAAGCAGAACAUCACCAAGAGCUGGCAAGACGUACAGACCUCCAACGCCUAUGUGAGAACCACUGAGAAACUGGGCGAGUGGAAUGAGAAAGUUACCAGUUUGGAGCUAUAUCUGUCUGCCUCAGCCACUUUGGAUGACAUUGCCCGCUCUGAAGCAGAUGGGCCAGAUGUGUGGAGAUACAAGAAGACUCAGGAGACUCUCUCCCAGGCGGGACAGAAGACCAGUGCAGCUCUCACCACAGUGGGCACGGUCAUCAGCAAGAGACUGGGCGACAUGAGAGCUCUACCUUUCUCUAAUUCCUUUAGUAGCAACUAUUCCAUUCGCCACUCGAUAAGUAUGCCCGCCAUGAGGAACUCUGCAACCUUCAAGUCAUUUGAGGAUAAAAUGGGGAACCUGAAGGUGAGCGGACAGUAGGGAUGCACCCAAAGGCCACGAUGUGACUGAUCCACAGUUGCUUUCAUUGUCAUUUAUAAAGUUGUCGGCCCCAGAGGGAACGGGGAGGCCGUCGGCUCCCCCACUGACACCACCCCCACUCAGGAGAACCCACCUUUCUGAACGCAUCCCUCCUCCUCCUCCUCCUCCUCCUUCUCGCUGCCACCUUCCUCACGACCUGAGACUGUACUGUUAUCACCUCACAUCGCUGAGUCAGCCCUGACCUUUGACCCUCCACCUCACCGACCCUCCACCACUCACUGCGACCCCCCCGCGAGGUCUGUAAACUCCGACAGGAGGCAAAGUGGGUUCGAGGUGGGACGAGCCUUUCCCGCCAGUCCCAUCACCGCCGGUCCCACGGCCUCCGUUCUUCUGCCUCGCCAUUGAGGAAAAGGAAAAUGUUUUGUUGAUGUCUAAACCUGAAUAAUUUACAGACCUUGCUUUGCUACAUGUCCACCUCCUGCCUCUACUUCCUCCCCAGUUAAAGCCACACCUCCUUUGUUAGCCUCCUGCACUCCUCAGACUCCUUUUUUUUAAAAAACAGGUUGUUACUGUUUCAGCACUUGGCUUAAAAACAAAAAAGGCUAAAAAGGCAUUAUGAGAUGUCGGGUUCUUAAACCAAACAUCACACUGAAUUCUGGGAUUGGGGUUCUUCUGUAAUUCUGGGUAAUUCUGGGAAGAUACGCUGCAGUCAUGCAUUGAAAAGUAACCCUGCAGGUGCAUUUUUGGGCCCCAACUCAGAGUUUAGGAACCAGGAUGUCUGCAGAAUGAGGGUGGAGGAGCUUUUUUUUUUUACGGGCAUAGGCAAAAUGGUGGUUUUACGCUGGUUACACCUACUAAUUCUGUCUUCUUGUUUCCGACUGCUAUCAUGUACUUUAAAUAAUGUAUUCACACUGUGAGCAAACGCUAGUGUCACCACAGUAACCCCGCCCUGUUCUCAAACUCGUCCUCAGUUUGCUUCACAGCUCUGCAGUCGGCAGCAGUGUGAAGUACGCUCGUAGGUUAGAGGUUAGUGGUUAUAUUGGGAGGGUGGGGUGGGGGGGGAUCCAGCACAUCUCACCCUUCUUAGACCCACCACUGCUACAUGCAUGUGCAUAUCUCAUCUCAGUUGUACCAUACCAAUCAUGCAAAGACGACCGAGGUCUCGUGUAACACCCUAAAAAAAAAAAAAAAAAACACCCCACAAUGUAAAAACAGACAAAAACCUUAAACCAUUUUGUAUUAAAACUAUUUUACACUGCUUUGCAUAAUGUUUUUACAUAACUUUUAUCAAUAUGUAUAAAUAUAUAUGAAUAAAUAUAUUGUCGCUGAUGCUGCUGAAUGGUAGUAAUCAGGUUGGAAGGUUUAAGAAAAAGCGGGGGCGAAGGUUAAACAAACUUAAAACAAAGAAACACUGUGGGUCAGUUUCACAGGGACGAGUUAUUGUCUGUCAGGAGUUUCUUCUCUUCAUGGUCUAAAAUUAAAUAAAUAAAAAUGUUCCCACGUUUGUGAAACUGACUCAUUGACGAGCUGCAGUCGUUUUGUACCCGUGUGGGCACAAGACGGAUCAGACCGAGGCCAUAAGGAACACAAUCCGACUGGUUUCAUUUGAUAAACGCGUUUGAUCUCAGAUGUUGCUGCUGCGACAUGUUAAUGCUGCCAUUUGCAAGUCAAACUCUCAAGGGUCGCAAAUGAUUUGAAACCACUUUGGCUGUGUUUUUGCUUUUCAGCCUGGGUUUGACUGCCGUUCACUCAGUGUGAGACGACGCUUUGCUGUGUACACUACCUGGUGAAUGUCAACGCUUUCUCUAUCAGCCUUACUCACUUUAACUGGUUCACCUGUUAUUCUAAUUUAGCUGGUAGAAAAUAAAUUUCAUUUAUGUUCCUUUUUUUUUUUUCUUUUCAAGUUGUACAGACUGGUUCGAUUGAAGGAAGGGGAGUUAGCGUUAAAAUAUUUAGAGUCCGGCGAGCCACAAAAGUCAUGGAAAACCUCUCGCUGCCAUAGUAGAAACUUUGCCAACAACCCCUUAAUGCACUCCUUUAAACACACUAAAUGCUACUAAAUGCCCUGAUCGCACACACACACGCUGCAUGAGGCCAAACUAACACAAACGUUUUGUACAAACUCACUGUUGCUCCUAUUAUUGUUGCACCUUCAGAGACCACAUAGUGAUAAAUCCAAACUCCAGGGCCUCAGAAACAGUGACAGUAAAUGUGAAGGCACAGAACUGUGCAGCACUGUCACUUUUCUCCUUGUUUCCUUUUAUUUUUUUGCUGAUACAAGGGCAACAUCGCCUCUGGUGGUUUGACAAAAUGUUACACUGCUGUUUAUCCAGUUAAAAAAAAAAAAAAGCAACUCGUGGAAAAAAAAAUAAAGCCAAAAUCCUCGUCAAUCUUGAGUUGCUGUUGAGGCUCAUCGUUUUUCUCAAAGCACUGAAAGGUGUUUGAAUGUUGCCUCUCACGUUGCCAAAUACGUUUUUCACCCAUCACAACUACAAAAUGUUGCUCUUGUAUCCCGUCUCAAAAUGUCACGGGAGGUCUAGAUGAUUUAAAACUUUUUCCCGGAAGGUUUAGAGUUGCUUGUAGAAAAUAUUAAAAGAUGAACAAACAUGAAAUGAAAAUACACUCGACUUACAAACAAACGUUCCUGUCAAACUGCUUCAAAACCAGUGUGCCAGUGUAUCAUAAGUGUAUUUUCUUGUUUGUGUUGCUCAUUUUGGUAGUUAAUAUAUUCCUGUUAGGUGAAUUGUUAUGUUUUCUUUUGGCUUUCUGUCUGUUCGGAGAGGUGGAUUUAGAUAAGAUUUCUUAUUUGUAUAAAUGAUUUGCCAUCAGUUAAAAACAAAUUGCCAAUAUUUAAAUAUCUGUUACAGAAUCUCUUUCUUUCUGCCUCUGAAUCUCAUGGAGUCUCUGACUUUACUGCUUCGCCAACAUGAAAAAGACGCAGUCGCACACUGCAAGAAUUAUUGAUCUCAGCUCAUUUACUUUAGAAUUUAACCAUAUUUCUCUUAAACAAAGUGGAGAAACUCACUCAUAGUUGACGCUUUGGUGGAGCUGUGAUCUCCCUUUUGUGCAAGACAAAUGUGAUUUGAAGGAUUAAAUGACUUCUUAAGAUGUAAUUUUUUUAUUUUCUUUUUGCAGUGUAGCCGUUUGUGUAAAGCUGCAAUCAGUUUUCGGAGACUGAUGAUGAAAAAGGAUGAUUACUUUUUGUUUUGGGUGCCAAUGGGAAGUGCAGCACAAUGGUGAGCCUGCUCAGAGCCAGCCGCUGCAGAGGCUGGAGGACAGUAGAGUACUCAUAGCUUUAUUUAGGUCCUGGGAUGGGCUGAUGUAGAAUAUCAAAAGGGAUCAGAUUUGGAAGAUUAUGGCGAGUUAAUUAAAAACACUUUGGUUUUUUUUUUGGUUUUGUUGUAUAUGUUUGGAUAUCAAUAAAGCAUUCCUUUAAAUGAA